GACGAACCGUGCGAACGUUAUUCGGAAUCACUGGGCUUAAAGCGCGUGUAGGCGGAUGGGAACGUCGGUGACUGAAAGCCCCCGGCUCAACCGGGGAAGGGGUGCCGAAACGACCGAUCUGGAGGGGCGUAGGGGGACCUGGAACUUCCGGUGGAGCGGUGAAAUGCGUUGAGAUCGGAAGGAACGCCCGUGGCGAAAGCGAGGUCCUGGACGUCUGCUGACGCUGAGACGCGAAAGCUAGGGGAGCAAACGGG
rnacentral:rRNA from 1 species